GGAUUAGAUACCCUGGUAGUCCACACCGUAAACGUUGGGCGCUAGGUGUGGGGCUCAUUCCACGAGUUCCGUGCCGCAGCUAACGCAUUAAGCGCCCCGCCUGGGGAGUACGGCCGCAAGGCUAAAACUCAAAGGAAUUGACGGGGGCCCGCACAAGCGGCGGAGCAUGCGGAUUAAUUCGAUGCAACGCGAAGAACCUUACCUAGGUUUGACAUAGGCGAGAAGCCGCUGGAGACAGCGGUCUCUUUGGACACUCGUUUACAGGUGGUGCAUGGCUGUCGUCAGCUCGUGCUG
rnacentral:rRNA from 1 species